GACUCACCCGGCGUUGAGCCCGUGAGCCCCCAGACCGGGAGGGGCGGGGCUCGCUGUGCUGUGAGGGGGUGGAGUUAAAGAAGAGGAAGUGGACCCCGCUGCCACGGAGCUGACGGGCGACGGCGACAAAGUGGCAGCUAGGAGGCGGGCAUCCAGAAGAAGAGCCAUUAGGACGACAUGCGGAGACGUUACGCAAUAUGUCGAGUUCGAGGAAAUCAACGCGGCCUGUCACGUGCCGCCUGAUUGCAGGGAAGCGGCGCCGUGCCACACGGUGGAAAUCAGCAAAGCGUCGUCUUCCGCGUGGCUCACAACACGAUCGUUGUUGACUCACGCUCCGAGAAGUCGUUGUCCUGCUCAGCGUUUCGUCCGGCCACACAAAGACACAAUCGCAUUUUUCAUCUUGCUGACGGACUCCUGCGGGCGCAGCUUUAAUAAUAAGGCGCAAACGUGGAUUACCGCUCGCCUCCAGUCACGUGACUUGACCGAGUCAGACUCCUGUUGCCCAUUUGAGGACUCGGGACUCGCUCGGUCCAACUCACGAAAAUCACGACUGGACUUGGGACUUGGCAUGCAGGAGACGCGGCGCAACACGACUAAACUGGACAAUGGCGGAAAAAAAUGACAGUCUGCGACUCACACCGGCGUAUCUGGCGAUGGACCCUCGCAAACAUACCGACUCGCGGCAACGGAAAAAAACGGUCUUAUCGGAAAAUUACGUGUUGAGGCUCCACAUGUACUGGACUCUGUUAUUUUUUGUUGAACCACAAAAACAUGGUGCAAUUGUCACAAAAGAAGCAGAUUGCUACGAGGCAACGGUAGGGACAUCAUUUGGGAUGGCCUCUUGACACGACCUCAUACACAUCACUGAAAUGAUCUUAUACACAAUAUUGACAUUUUUUUUUUUAACCUGACUCCUGCUUAUUCAUGUUUUUCUCCCCCCAAAAUCAGAAUCAAUUAUUUGCAGAUUUUGGCUAUUUGGGGUCUGGCUCGGUCCCAACCCCCCAGUUGAGUAAUAAAAGAGAGACUUGAUAUGUUGGCAA